UUGAAGGGACAAGAGUUGGAAUCUGCUUUUCUCCCCCUCCUAGUGACGACACCUACAUUUUAAAAUAUAUAAGCAUCACGUUACCAAUUUACUGAGCUACCAACUCUGGAACUCGCAUAUGCAUUGGAAAGCCAAGAGAAGAUAGUUCAAGGACAAAACGAACCUUGAAGUGACUGUCCAUGCACCUUGCUUUGUGAGCUGAAGUACAUGAAGAUGCAAUCUGUGAAGCUUUACUUACUGAAGUAUCUAGAAGUGACUUGGUCUACAAGGGAGUGCUGCAGUGCCCGAAAUGCUUAUUAUAGUCCCUACUUUGUUUCCCAGUAGAAUGCCCAGGUAUGUGAGGCCUCUCUUCAGGGCCGAACUUCUUCCUGAAGCAAACACAGCCAGUCAGUAUGCACACUCCUGAAAACAAAACCAAGCUUCCACUGACUUCAGGAGCAGCAGCAUUGAGUUCAAAAAGGCUCACGUGUGAACUAACACUAGAAAACUAAUUGAGGCAGAUCAGUAAUGAGAAACUCAAUCUAAAAAUGAAGUGUUUUUAAUUAAGAGACACUCUUCAGAAUUAUUCAGAAUUAUACAGAAAUAGGCUCUUUAUCAUUUAAAAUUUGGCUCUUCCUUCCUCACCAACUAUAAAUCACUGAGCUGUGAUUAGUAGACUUAGUAGAAGGAACGCCUGAUUGUCUGGCUUUAGUUAUGCCUAUGAAUGUGAUGAGGUCUCACUG
rnacentral:lncRNA from 1 species